rnacentral:tRNA from 1 species
GUUAUUUUGGCAGAUUAGUGUAAUAGAUUUAGAAUCUAUAUAAGUUUAAUAAACAAAUAAUA